rnacentral:lncRNA from 1 species
GAACGGCCCCCGUGGGCCCCACCCUGUGGAGAACUGCCCGGCGGCCUGGCAUCAGGAUGAUUUACUCCAAUUGCUCAACACUCUGCGAGUUCCUUUGCUCUGAGGAGUGUAGAUUUUUUAAAAGGCUAGAGUUUUCUUUUUUUUCUUUUUUGUGCCUUCAUUCAGUUUGUUUUCUUAUAAAAAUUAUUCAAAUCCGUAGUGUUGAUGUUUCCAGACACACUGAAUAAGGUUCAAAACCAUCGCUAACUAAACAAACCAACUUUCCAAGCAGAAGAAAAAGACGUGAGACUCACCCGCCAAGUGUGAGAUCAUUUUUUUCAAGUUCAUUGCCUCUCUUCCUCACCCAAGUUUGUUGGACCAGAGAACACACAAACCACACCUCAAACUCUAGCUCAUGCUAGAGAAAUUUGGGUUAACAAAAGGGAAAAAAAAAGGAGAAACAGGAGAGGAAGAAACAAACACAAUAUGCUGUUGCUUUAGGCCUGACCCUGAAACCCCGGACAGGAAUAGACGCCUGUGUGACUUAGAGGCGAGAAUAAAGAUGGGUGUGGAGAUUUUAGAUGAGGACAAUUCCUGCUCUGCUUAAAUUUAGGGUAGGAGGAGUCCCUGGGAACGCUGAAAAGAGGAGCUGGUUCCCAUGGCCGUGAUACCAUGGCUCUCAGCCUCCAUUAGUUUCUCUUGCUUUAAAGCUUUACACCCGCUCUGACCAAUAUGGUAACUCGUAGCUGCAUGUAGCUAUUUAAAUUCAAAUUAAUUCAAUUAAAUAAAAUAAUACAUUCUUUAGUUGUACUAGGCACAUUCCAAGUGCUCAACAGUCACAUGUGGUUAGCAGUUAUGUAUAGAACAUUUCCAUCAUCACAGAGAGUUCUAGUGGACAGCACCGCUGUGAUGUUCUCACCCCAAGUCAAGGAGCAAGAUGCAAGCAAUGGCUCAGGCCUUCUCAGCCAAGCAAGGACCUCCGGUGUGGGUAACGGCAGCAGGAUGCCCGGACCCAGGGCAGGAGGACUAUGGAGGUUCCUUGGGGAGAGCCCUAGCACCCCCUCCCAGGAAAGCAACCCCACCAUAGAGAGUGCGGUUGGCUUCCCUGCCCAGCGACAUCCAUCUACUCACAGCGCCGUCUCCUCCUCCUGGCACCGGGCCGGCUGCUCUGCGAGCCGCGCUGCCCUGAGGUCCUUUUCUACCCUGCGGCAGUUCUUCCAAGCUCUGGCACCAGGAAGGGUCUGUGAUUGGGAGGAGGCCUCUCCCAUGGGCUGAGCCUGAGGCUGCCUGAACCUGCCUCGCCGAGGCCGGAAGUCACAGGAAACUCCGCUGGUAGAUUUCUGCUGCUCUGGAAUGAGUGAUUCUGACAGAUGGAAGCCCGGGACCCCGCUCAGCGCAUCACUCCUCUGGAUUCCUUCUGCGUCUGGGCUUCCUCGAACACACACUCGAGGCUUUCGUUUUUGUUCUGAUUUGAUUUAUUAGUGUGAUUUGAUCCUUUGUUCUGCUUUUGUGCAUUAAAAGUCCUCUCUAUUGUCCUGACUGCUCAAAGUCACGCUGGUACAUGUUUAUCUGUCUAAGGUCUUGUGUAGUUUCAGUAUCUGUUAACUUGCAUCUGCUACAUUACGGGGAAAGUAAUUGCCCAAGUAAUGCUCACACUGGAGGGGGUCCAAAGACUAAAAACGGGCAAGAGAUCUGGAAACAGACUGGGAGAAAUUCAGGCAUAGAGAGAGGGCUCAAGUACUUAUCUGACGAUGUCCCGGUCCACCCUUCCCUUCCUGCCUUUCUUCUGGAGUCGCCAUGUGUCGCACACAGGCACCAACAUUUCUUUUGAGGUUUAAUUUUUAUUUUGGACAGUUUUUUUUUUAAGAUAAAAAUCAGGUGAGGAGGGGCUUCUUCUACCCUAAACAUUUCAGAAAAUGCAUAAAAUUUCCAUGGUAAUAAUAUUAGAAGUCUCACCCAUCAGUUGAAUAAAUAGAAGGAAGAACUGGAGAGAGAUUUUGAA